GGUGAUCUGAGGGAAGGGAAAGGCCAGCUUGUCCAGAAAUACCAUCCUGCUAAAGCUGAAAAGGCUUGCAAUUCCCAUUACUCACUCCUUUUGGUUAGGAUGGGUACUAGAAAGCAUCUUUUAAAAUGUUGCUUCAGUGGAGCAAUGUGUCAGCAAACAAACUAUUAAUGUCCCAUCAAUUCAGCAGAAUUAAGAAGGACAAAGAACCUGAAAUCAUUUUUGAUAUGUGGGGGCUAGGAAAAGGAGAGACUGAAACUUAAACUAUUUCUGGCUGAUUUGAGUCACCUUUCCAUGGUUAUUCCAUCACUCCCUCAUAGCUUUCUUUAUACAUUCCCACUAAUCGUCCUCUGGGGAUUUGGGAUUUAUAAUAGAAAUAGUUCUAGGUAAUAACUAUCCUAGCAGCAAAAUCCUAAAGGAAAAAAAAAGUUUGAAGGUACAAAAUUUGUAACUAGUAAAAUAAAAUUGUGUUGCCAAAUGGAACUUCAUGGAUUGACCCAGGGUCUUGAAUUCCUCUAUCUUAGUCUGCUCAGGUUUUUAUAACAAAGUAUCCUGAUAUAAAAUGGGUGACCUAAAAACAACAGAAAUUUAUUUAUCACAGUUCUGUAAGCUGGAAACCCAAGGUCAAGUCAUCAGCCAAAUUGGUGACCAAUGAGGAUUUUCUUUCUGGUUCAUAGACUGUAGCUUCUUGCUCUACAUUCCCCACAUGGUGAAAGGAGCCGAUAAGCUCCCACAGGCCUCUUGUACAUGGCAAUAAUCCCAUUCACAGGGGCUCCACCCUUGUGAACUAAUCAUUUCUCAAAGGCCUCACCUCCUAGCACCAGGAGAUUGGUGGUUAGUAUUUUGUGUGGAAGUGGGUAUAACAUCUAAACCUUGGCACCCUUUUGCUGAUAAAGGAUACCACAUUUACUCAGAAGGGAUUUUUCUCUCCAGCUGAGACAAGGAAAAUUGAAGUUUUAGUGUGAACCAAGGGGGAGGUAGUUAUUUUACCUUGAGCAACCCUCAUCCUCUGUCAGGAACUGCAGAACUUCAGCUACAAGACAGAUCUAAAAACUGGUUAAUUACAAUACUUAUAUGCCUAAUUAUAAUUGAAGAUGGCUCCUAAUUAUAAAUUUUAUUGGCAUGAAUUAUUAUUUCAAGUAGAUAAUGAUCAACUAUUGCUAUAGAAUAAGGUGUCUUUAAAGGUCAAUUCAUAAAAGUAUUUUUUUCUUAAACAAAAGUGCCAAAGAGACUAUUAUGCACUCAUACUAUUUAGGGUUCAACAUGUUUCCAUUGAUAACUAUCACUUUCCCCCUGCAGUGAAACAACUUUAAAAUUCCAAUAACUUUCCCAAGGGCAGAAUAUUGAUAUUUACCUCUCUCAGAAAGGCAUGCCUCACCAUGGGAGUGCUUACAAAUGUUACAUAAAUUAGCUAUCUAUAUUCCUAAUGAAGAUGACAGAGACAAAAUUGAACUGAACUGUUCCUAUAAGUAGCUAUGACAAUUUUGAUCUUGCCAUAGUGUUUUUACACAGACUGACAGCCCUGUCUUCUAGAAAUUCUAAAACACCAAUAAAUAUUCAACCAGCAAUCAAGGAUCUUAAAAAAGGAGUAAGAAUGAGUUUUAAAUCUUGAUCAGUAUGGUAGUUAUAAUGAAAUAUGUCCCCCCCACUCUAUAGACACACACACACACACACACACA
rnacentral:lncRNA from 1 species